rnacentral:rRNA from 1 species
GAUCAUGGCUCAGGAUGAACGCUAGCGGCAGGCUUAACACAUGCAAGUCGAGGGGCAGCAUAAUGGAUAGCAAUAUCUAUGGUGGCGACUGGCGCACGGGUGCGUAACGCGUAUGCAACCUACCUUUAACAGGGGGGAUAACACUGAGAAAUUGGUACUAAUACCCCAUAAUAUCAUAGAAGGCACCUUUUAUGGUUGAAAUUCCGAUGGUUAGAGAUGGGCAUGCGUUG